rnacentral:rRNA from 1 species
AACGAACGCUGGCGGCAGGCUUAACACAUGCAAGUCGAGCGCCCCGCAAGGGGAGCGGCAGACGGGUGAGUAACGCGUGGGAAUCUACCCAUCUCUACGGAAUAACGCAUGGAAACGUGUGCUAAUACCGUAUACGUCCUUCGGGAGAAAGAUUUAUCGGAGAUGGAUGAGCCCGCGUUGGAUUAGCUAGUUGGUGGGGUAAAGGCCUACCAAGGCGACGAUCCAUAGCUGGUCUGAGAGGAUGAUCAGCCACACUGGGACUGAGACACGGCCCAGACACCUACGGGAGGCAGCAGUGGGGAAUAUUGGACAAUGGGCGCAAGCCUGAUCCAGCCAUGCCGCGUGAGUGAUGAAGGCCCUAGGGUUGUAAAGCUCUUUCACCGGUGAAGAUAAUGACGGUAACCGGAGAGGAAGCCCCGGCUAACUUCGUGCCAGCAGCCGCAGUAAUAC